ACGAUACACAAAAAUAAACUCAAAAUGGAUUAAAGACCUAAAUUAAGACAGGAAGGCAUCAAAAUCCUAGAAGAGAAAGCAGGCCAAAACCUCUUCGACCUUGGCCGCAGCAUCUUCUCACUCAACACAUCUCCAUAAGCAAGGGAAACAAAA